rnacentral:ncRNA from 1 species
GCUAAUACCCCGUAGGAACUUGUCCUUGGGAGGGGAACAACAGCUGGAAACGACUGCUAAUACCCCGUAGGCUGAGGAACAAAAGGAGGAAUCCGUUCGAGGAGGGACUCGUGUUUGAUUAGCUAGUCGGUGAGGCAAUAGUUUACCAAGGCAAUGAUCAGUAGCUGGUCUGGUCCGAGAGGAUGAUCAACUACACUGGAUGAGAUACGGCCCAGACUUUUACGGGAAG